AUUCCAGCUCCAAUAGCGUAUAUUAAAGUUGUUGCAGUUAAAAAGCUCGUAGUUGGAUUUCUGGUGUGGGGUGCUUGACCCGCCGCGGUUACGCGUGUGAGUGUCGGUGUGCUCUGCCCAUCCUUCUAGAAAUUGGCUCUGCCCUUCAUUGGGUUGGGGUCAGGAUCUAGAUCUUUUACUUUGAAAAAAUUGGAGUGUUUAAAGCAAGCGUUGCGUGAAUACAUUAGCAUGGAAUAAUAACUUAGGACUUUGGUUCUAUUUUGUUGGUUUCUAGGACCGAAGUAAUGAUUGAUAGGGAUAGUUGGGGGUGCUAGUAUUCAGCGGCCAGAGGUGAAAUUCUUGGAUUCGCUGAAGACUAACUUAUGCGAAAGCAUUCACCAAGGAUGUCUUCAUUA
rnacentral:rRNA from 1 species